UUCUGGAGGGGAACAGCAGCCUCCUUUCCACUGCCCCAGCCGGUGCUCCAGACAAGAGUGGCCUGGUAGCCCUGCCGAAGCCUCCCCUGGGCAAGUAUGGUGGGGACUGAGGGGGCCGAAAUUGCUCAGCCAGUGGAGUUCGCAGUGGGAAUCCAGAAAAAACCAAUAUCCUAUGACCAGACUGUUCUCCUCUGUACUAGUCCUCUGUACUAGUCCUGUGUCCUGGCUGAGGACCAUGGCAUAACUCCUCAGGGCAAGGCAAGGAAGCCUUGAGAAUAACUGAGGCUGAACUUCCCACCAACCCAGCCGGAGGAGAGCUCAGAGUUGAAAUCCAGUUAACUAACCGGAAAUCAAGAAAUGCAGUAUUUCUUGAACUCUUCCAUCUCUGGACAGAAAUUCAUACCCAAUUCCCUUGCAGGAGACAUUUACUGAGGGCCAUCUGUGGGCCCAGCAGGGUCUAUAAUUCCAAAGGGGACCCACAAGGAGGAACAAGAAUUAGAGGCAUCAUCACCUCCAAGGAGUGGGCCAUCUGAAAGGAAGACACUUCCGUGCAGUGUGUACUUGUCCAGUUUAGAUACUUGGUAUUGAACUAGCUCAAGCGAAGAGAAAGCAGGAGUUAGAUAGAUAUUCUGCUCUAAGUAACAAUCCAGGAUGGCGGGAGGGCAUUCCAGCCCUUCAGAGUCCAAGAGUUUGAAGAAGUCCAAGGUAGACUUUUCUGAAAAAUCCUCUGAAGAACCACUAAAAGAAUAACCAGAAACCAUCUCCCAGAUAAACAGAUGACCCAGGAGGAAGAUGAGAAUGAGUCACAGAUUUGUCUUUUUGUUUAUCAUAACUGAAGUUUUUGGACUAUAUCAUUUUCUCCUUGUGGGCUCAGUCAUCUUCCAACCCAAUUCCCAUACCUGAACUCUGUCUCAGCCUUUACAAACAUUUUUAGCUACUCUUCCCAUAUUGGCUCUCAUUUUUUCCUAUAUAUUACCCGUCAAA